UGUUCCUUAGCUCAGUUGGUAGAGCAUUCGACUGUUAUUCACUAGCAUUCAUCGAAAGGUCGAGGGUUCGACCCCCCCAGGAACAG